rnacentral:rRNA from 1 species
ACGUACACUCUGCGGGAGGCAGCAGUGGGGAAUAUUGGACAAUGGGGGCAACCCUGAUCCAGCCAUGCCGCGUGAGUGAUGAAGGCCCUAGGGUUGUAAAGCUCUUUUGUGCGGGAAGAUAAUGACGGUACCGCAAGAAUAAGCCCCGGCUAACUUCGUGCCAGCAGCCGCGGUAAUACGAAGGGGGCUAGCGUUGCUCGGAAUCACUGGGCGUAAAGGGUGCGUAGGCGGGUCUUUAAGUCAGGGGUGAAAUCCUGGAGCUCAACUCCAGAACUGCCUUUGAUACUGAGGAUCUUGAGUCCGGAAGAGGUGAGUGGAACUGCGAGUGUAGAGGUGAAAUUCGUAGAUAUUCGCAAGAACACCAGUGGCGAAGGCGGCUCACUGGUCCGGUACUGACGCUGAGGCACGAAAGCGUGGGGAGCAAACAGGAUUAGAAACCCGUGUAGUCCCAUG